rnacentral:lncRNA from 1 species
CUCUACAGGCAUUGUAAAUUAGAGGGUUCCGAGCAGACUAUUAUUCUACAUAGACCUCCUGCUAAGGCCUAGAACAGCAAGCACAACUAGGAAGAAGAAUGCCAGAGAUCCAAGGAAGGACAGGGCGGUGGAGGCUGCGACUAGGUGGCAGAAUUUUCCGAAAACGUUGCAGACCUUGUUCCACUGCACACGUGUAUUCCCUUGAUACCCCAUUAGGCCAAUUGCCCCGGCAGAUCCAAUGGCGGAAAAGAGCAACGCCACCAUUGACAGAUCGAGCACGAUGAUCACCAGCCCUAACUUAUUCUUCGUGCCCCGAUUCGCAAAAGAAAGGACUAGGGAAAAUGCUGCAUAUGCGCAUGCUAUGGCGUCUGCUGCCACAAGGUACCUAGCACAUAUUCAAUCUUGGUAAAAUUAGUUGCUUAAACAAUUACUGCAGAAUUAGCAAAAUAAUUAUAAAAAAAAUUUAGUCAAGAAAUAACACGCGUAGGUAAUUUAGGAUACAAGUAUACUAGUCUAGACUGAGGUAUCCAGGACCAUGCUAGCUAGCUGAUUGAAUUUUUGCGAGCGAAAGUGGUUGAGGUUAUUAAUUAAGUGAUUAAACUUUUUCUUCAACUUAAUUUUCCUGUCACAACAAUACAGAUGGAGUACUGAUGACAAGGGACCAGGGAGGAUUCCGUACUUACGAGGGACUUGUAAAGUCUUGUCCUGACUUGAUACCUCCAUGUACAUGUGGAGAGGAAUACUACCAGAUUGUAGUUUUACUAGCAUCUUGCAUAGGUGAAAAACUUAUAUGACACAUGUACACUACUACGGUGACAUCGAAAAAAAGAUAUAUAUGAGUGUUUGUUAUAUCCUUAUUUUAUUAACAAGAGACGUCAUAUGAUGAUAUACCGGUAUCAUAUAAGUUGUUCGCCUUGCAUAGAGAAUUAUACGUACUCAAAUUCAGGAAAAAUGUAGCGGAGAAUUUUAUUGAGAUAAGGCAUGGCAACGGACUGAGUGAGUGAGCCAUAUGAGUUGGGUAUAACUUUGAAGCAAAGAUUAUCUUCCACUACAUCAAUCUUCAUCUAUGACUCGUGUUCUGUUUGAUCUGAGAAAAGACCUCGUUUAUGACAAAAAUUAUAUUCUUACCAUCUAUUUAUUUCAUCUCUUUAAUAGAGAUGAAAUCCACACAUGUUAAUGAGUCUAUCUUUAUUAAAAAGAUCACACAAAUAGACGGUAAAUCUAGCAUCACUCUGUUUACAAUUUCCACAUAAGCCUCAAUUUGUAUGGAAUGAACUCUUGUUUUACGCAAAAUAAAUAUAUAAAUAAAUGCAUGUGUUCACUGCAUUAGUAACACCACGUGGAAAAGUAACCAUAUCAAUUUGAAUAAUGUAUGGUAUUGCUUUCUUGCUCUACGUUGAUAGAUAUCUCGUACAUUAUGUUUGACGCUGUUAAUUUGGAUCACACAAAUACAUAAAAUUUCACAUAGUUAAAGAUGGAAAUUUCAAUUUGUUGCCAAGCAUAACGUAUACUGCUAAUUACAUAUACAAAGAAGAUUUUACCUUAGUUUACACAUAACAUACUAGAUUGUCUAACAUAACAUAAGCUUUUACUUUUGACCACCUAUUUAAACAAAACUUCACCUAAUUAAGGUCUACCCGAUUAACAGUUUGGCAACAUAAAUGUCUGACAUAACUUGAAGGUUGAUGAAAGAAUACAAGUGAUGCAUCAAAGGAUUUUCCUACCCGUUAUAUUGAACUCAAAGACUAUGACACACAUAUGUUAUCCACAAAAUCCAUAGAUUGCUUGGUAAUGUAUUUAUAUAUCUGGACAUUCACAUGUAAGUUUCCCAUAACAUUACACUUUUAGAGGAAAAGUUUGACAACAAGAAUUUAUUUAUUUAUCUCUUCAAUUAAGCUUUUGAAGUAAUUUUGUAUAAAACUUAGAGUUGUCGGAGUGUUUUUAAGUUUAAUUUACUAUUAAAACUUGUCGAAAGAGAGAGAGAGAGAGCGCUCACACAAAAGCAGAUAAGUAAUGCCACUUAGCCGUAGCAGGAACAUCAAUAGGAGGCAAGGUUGGGAUGAGCUUCAACGAUACAAUUUCGGUUUGCUUACCGACUCCAAGGACAAUAGAAGCCGUAAGAGUUAGCACCAAGGCCAAAAUCCUCAGAAUCGACUCACGUGUCCCACCUCCUCUUUGGUUUGCUAUCUUCACUUC